rnacentral:rRNA from 1 species
UAGCUCACUAGUCGAGUGACCCUGCGCCGAAAAUGUACCGGGGCUAAACAUAUUACCGAAGCUGUGGACUACACCAUUAGGUGUAGUGGUAGGAGAGCGUUCUAAGGGCGUUGAAGGUCGAUCGUGAGGACGGCUGGAGCGCUUAGAAGUGAGAAUGCCGGUAUGAGUAGCGAAAGACAGGUGAGAAUCCUGUCCACCGUAUGACUAAGGUUUCCUGGGGAAGGCUCGUCCGCCCAGGGUUAGUCGGGACCUAAGCCGAGGCCGAUAGGCGUAGGCGAUGGACAACAGGUUGAUAUUCCUGUACCAGUUGUUUUUGUUUGAACAAUGGAGGGACGCAGUAGGCUAAGGAAUGCAUGCGAUUGGAAGUGCAUGUCCAAGCAAUGAGUCUUGAGUAGAGUUAAAUGCUUUACUCUUUAAGGACAAGUUGUGACGGGGAGCGAAAUAAUAGUAGCGAAGUUCCUGAUGUCACACUGCCAAGAAAAGCUUCUAGUGAGAAAACAACUGCCCGUACCGUAAACCGACACAGGUAGUCGAGGAGAGUAUCCUAAGGUGAGCGAGCGAACUCUCGUUAAGGAACUCGGCAAAAUGACCCCGUAACUUCGGGAGAAGGGGUGCUGACUUCGGUCAGCCGCAGUGAAUAGGCCCAAGCGACUGUUUAUCAAAAACACAGGUCUCUGCAAAAUCGUAAGAUGAAGUAUAGGGGCUGACGC